GGUUUGGCCGGGGGUGAUCACCACCGUGUCGACGGUGAAGGGCUUGGUGUAGAUGGCGUCGACCUCGACGACGGUGAGCUUGUGCCCGGCGAUUUUGAAGAAGAGGUCCUCGUUGAGUGCAGCGUUGACGAUGCGGAGCAGAAACACAAGAAGCUAUUGGUCCGGGAUGGCCGUUGAUGGUGUGGGCGUCGGAGACGUUGGGUGCUAAGCCAGUUUUCGUAGCCUGGUUGAUCACCGCCUCUGUGUCGGCGUUCCACCAUUCGCCUGCAAUUCGAGUCACAAAAUAUAAUCUUUAUGAAAUUUGAAGAUGAACAGGGGAGUGGUGGACAUUGACCAUUUGUUGAGUACCUAAAACAAGAACGACUUCCUGGUGGGGAUUGGAGAAAGGAUAAGGGACGUGGAGCUUGGGCUUGAUGACGAUGGCGCCAUGGACGGUGGCUCGAAGCCAUAAGAUGUGAGCGUGAUACCAAAGUGUGCCUCUUUGUCCGGUGAGGGUGAAGUUGUAGACGUAGCUUUGGCCGGGUUGGAUCGGGCAUUGUGUGAUGUAAGCAGGUCCGUCAGCCCACCCGGUUCGGAUCUGCCUUAUUCCAUGCCUAAGAUUGGUAUACAAUUUCUUAGGUUUGUUUCGUGUUCGACGGAAAACAUAUAUGAUCUGAAUGGAAAUAUCUUGAUUCUGAUC